CCACAGCCCCACCCCCCGUCAUGUGAUCAAGAACAGGCCUUACUUCCCCGGACUCCAGUGGCUCAGAUCUGACCCCCACCACUGCCCUGAGGAACCCCAGAUGCGGAGCCUUGAGUUCAAACCCAGCCCUCUAACGGACACAUCUGUGGCCGCCCUGGGAGAUCAGCCCAUCGGUGUGCUUGCAAAACAGUGCAGCCUGCUUUGGGAGAACGCUGCUGAUUUGCCAGCAUGAGCUGGGGCUGCUUGGUGGACGUUGAACCUCCGCUGCCCUCCCUGCAAGCUUGCAGGAUCUUAGAUGCCUGAGGACCAGCGACUGAAGCCUGGAACUCUAAUCAAUAGCCUCCAGGACGUCCUCUCUGGACUCAAAUUCUGCAACUCUGACCAAGCCGAUUCUUUACUGCUGAGCUACCAGGGAAGCCUAAGACACACCCUGCGGACACUCCACUGCGGAUGGAACCCAGGACCUCCUAGUGACCUGGACUUGCUGUUUUCUCGUCUUCUGUGUAGUCUGCUGGGGAACUGAUGACCCCACUGUGCCUGGUGAACAGCCAGAGCAACACCCAGGGGUGUGGGGACAGCGAGUGACUCUCCAG
ensembl:lncRNA